AUUGAACGCUGGCGGCAUGCUUUACACAUGCAAGUCGAACGGUAACAGGCCGCAAGGUGCUGACGAGUGGCGAACGGGUGAGUAAUGCAUCGGAACGUGCCCAGUCGUGGGGGAUAACGCAGCGAAAGCUGUGCUAAUACCGCAUACGAUCUAUGGAUGAAAGCGGGGGACCGUAAGGCCUCGCGCGAUUGGAGCGGCCGAUGUCAGAUUAGGUAGUUGGUGGGGUAAAGGCUCACCAAGCCAACGAUCUGUAGCUGGUCUGAGAGGACGAGCGGCCGCACUGGGGCUGAGACACGGCCCGGCCUCCGGCGGGAGGCAGCAGUGGGGAAUUUUGGACGAGGGGCGCAAGCCUGAUCCAGCAAUGCCGCGUGCAGGAGGAAGGGCUUCGGGUUGUAAACUGCUUCUGUACGGAACGAAACGGUCUGGGGUAAACCCCUGGGCUAAUGACGGUACGGUAAGAAUAAGCGCCGGCUAUCUACGUGCCGGCCGCCGCGGUAAAAC
rnacentral:rRNA from 1 species